CAAAAACAUCGCCUCUUGCCUCAAACAUAAGAGGUCCAGCCUGCCCAGUGACUAUUGUUCAACGGCCGCGGUAUCCUAACCGUGCGAAGGUAGCGUAAUCACUUGUUCUUUAAAUGAGGACUAGUAUGAAUGGCAUCACGAGGGUUAUACUGUCUCCUCUCUCUAAUCAGUGAAACUAAUCUCCCCGUGAAGAAGCGGGGAUAAAAUUAUAAGACGAGAAGACCCUAUGGAGCUUUAAGUAAAUCUUCAAACGCUUGUAUACCCUAACAGUCAUAGACCCUUAAAAUUAACUUUAGCGCCAUGAAGAUGAACUUUAGGUUGGGGUGACCACGGAGUACAAAAAAACCUCUACGCUGAACAAGUCUCAAAGCCUUGAGUAAAGGGCCACAACCCGAUACACUAAUAAACUAACACCAAUUGACCCA
rnacentral:rRNA from 1 species